rnacentral:tRNA from 1 species
CGGCAAGUAGCCUAACGGUUAAGAGCGUUUGGCCAGUAAUCCAAAGGUCGCUGGUUCGAAUCCCCUAGCCGA